AUACUUAUCUGGCAGGGGAGAUACCAUGAUGACGAAGGUGGUUUUCCCAGGGCCAGGCUUAUCGGUUGCAACCUGGAUGUGCUGACCCCUGUGAUUUCCCCAAAUGUGGGAAACUUGACUGCAUAAUUUGUGGUAGUGGGGGACUGUGUUCACGCUCUCCCCUA